UGACCUCGGAUCAGGUAGGAAUACCCGCUGAACUUAAGCAUAUCAUU
rnacentral:rRNA from 1 species